CCUACGGGAGGCAGCAGUGGGGAAUAUUGGACAAUGGGCGAAAGCCUGAUCCAGCCAUGCCGCGUGUGUGAAGAAGGCCUUCGGGUUGUAAAGCACUUUCAGUGGGGAAGAAAGCCUUGGGGCUAAUACCCUCGAGGAAGGACAUCACCCACAGAAGAAGCACCGGCUAACUCCGUGCCAGCAGCCGCGGUAAUACGGAGGGUGCGAGCGUUAAUCGGAAUUACUGGGCGUAAAGCGCGCGUAGGCGGUCUGAUAAGCCGGUUGUGAAAGCCCCGGGCUCAACCUGGGAACGGCAUCCGGAACUGGCAGGCUAGAGUGCAGGAGAGGGAGGUAGAAUUCCCGGUGUAGCGGUGAAAUGCGUAGAGAUCGGGAGGAAUACCAGUGGCGAAGGCGACCUUCUGGACUGACACUGACGCUGAGGUGCGAAAGCGUGGGUAGCAAACAGGAUUAGAUACCCGAGUAGUC
rnacentral:rRNA from 1 species